rfam:Gossypium hirsutum cultivar TM-1 unplaced genomic scaffold scaffold246.1, whole genome shotgun sequence
UGUUAAUAAUCUCAUCUAUUUGUACUGUUAAAAACUGACGUGAACAGUGAUAUGUAACAUGCCACUUGUACAUUAUGCUGAUGUAUAGGGAUCAAUUUUGAACCGUAGAAAUGAAUUAAAUUUUUAACA